UACGAAGGGGGCUAGCGUUGCUCGGAAUGACUGGGCGUAAAGGGCGCGUAGGCGGAUGGCACAGUCAGAUGUGAAAUUCCCGGGCUUAACCUGGGGGCUGCAUUUGAUACGUGUGAUCUAGAGUGAGGAAGAGGGUCGUGGAAUUCCCAGUGUAGAGGUGAAAUUCGUAGAUAUUGGGAAGAACACCGGUGGCGAAGGCGGCGACCUGGUCCUUGACUGACGCUGAGGCGCGAAAGCGUGGGGAGCGAUCCGG
rnacentral:rRNA from 1 species